rnacentral:tRNA from 1 species
GAGGGUAUAGCUAGGUGGUAGAGUAUGUGCUUAGUAUGCAUGAGGUUCUGCGUUCAAUCCCCAGUACCUCUA